rnacentral:tRNA from 1 species
CGGGACGUAGCGCAGUCCGGUAGCGCACCUGAAUGGGGUUCAGGGGGUCGCGGGUUCAAAUCCCGCCGUCCCGACUA